UACGUAGGGUGCAAGCGUUGUCCGGAAUCAUUGGGCGUAAAGAGCGUGUAGGCGGCUCGAUCAGUCCGCUGUGAAAGUCCAGGGCUCAACCCUGGAAAGCCGGUGGAUACUGCGGAGCUAGAGUCCGGAAGAGGCGAGUGGAAUUCCUGGUGUAGCGGUGGAAUGCGCAGAUAUCAGGAGGAACACCAAUAGCGAAGGCAGCUCGCUGGGACGGUACUGACACUGAGGCGCGAAAGCGUGGGGAGCGAACAGG
rnacentral:rRNA from 1 species